GUCAGGUGUGGUGGCGCACACCUGUAAUCCCAGCUACUUGGGAGGCUGAGGCAGGAGAAUCACUUGAACUCAGGAGGUGGAGGUUGCAGUGAGCCGAGAUUGCGCCACUGCACUCCAGCCUGAGUGACAGAGUGAGACUCUGUCUCAA
ensembl:misc_RNA Metazoa_SRP Metazoan signal recognition particle RNA